UCACUCUAAGGGCUUAGUAGUGACUGA
rnacentral:sRNA from 1 species